rnacentral:rRNA from 1 species
UUUGAUUUCUUCGGAAUGAAGAUUUUGUGACUGAGUGGCGGACGGGUGAGUAACGCGUGGGUAACCUGCCUCAUACAGGGGGAUAACAGUUGGAAACGACUGCUAAUACCGCAUAAGCGCACAGGGUCACAUGACUUGGUGUGAAAAACUCCGGUGGUACAGGAUGGUCCCGCGUCUGAUUAGCCAGUUGGCAGGGUAACGGCCUACCAAAGCGACGAUCAGUAGCCGGCCUGAGAGGGUGAACGGCCACAUUGGGACUGAGACACGGCCCAAACUCC